UACGAAGGGAGCUAGUGUUGUUCGGAAUUACUGGGCGUAAAGGGCGCGUAGGCGGUUUAGUCAGUCAGAUGUGAAAGCCCAGGGCUUAACCCUGGAACUGCGUUUGAUACUGCUAAGCUUGAAUUCGGGAGAGGUGAGUGGAAUUCCCAGUGUAGAGGUGAAAUUCGUAGAUAUUGGGAAGAACACCGGUGGCGAAGGCGGCUCACUGGACCGACAUUGACGCUGAGGCGCGAAAGCGUGGGGAGCAAACAGG
rnacentral:rRNA from 1 species